CACGUAGGGGACGAGCGUUGUCCGGAUUCAUUGGGCGUAAAGCGCGCGUAGGCGGCUCGGAAAGUCGGUCGUGAAAUGCCGGGGCUCAACCCCGGGACUGCGUCCGAUACUCUCGAGCUGGAGGCAGGUAGGGGAGAUCGGAAUUCCUGGUGUAGCGGUGAAAUGCGCAGAUAUCAGGAGGAACACCGAUGGCGAAGGCAGGUCUCUGGGCUGACACUGACGCUCAUGCACGAAAGCGUGGGGAGCGAACAGG
rnacentral:rRNA from 1 species